AUGGCAAAAUUUUGGUGGGGUGGCUCCCUUGACAGAAGAUCUUUGCAUUGGUUGUCUUGGGAUAAACUUGCAUCUCCUAAGGCCUAUGGUGGCAUGGGUUUUCGUGAUCUACAUCUCUUCAAUGUGGCCUUGUUGGGAAAACAUGGUUGGAGAUUCAUCAAAAAUCCCAACUCAUUAUGUGCAAGAGUCAUGAAAGGAUGUUAUUUCCCUGUCAGUGAUUUCAUGGACGCCACCAUACCGCAAUCGGCCUCAGCCAUCUGGCGUGCUAUAGUGGCCGGACGUGAAGCUCUUCAGUUGGGGAUGAUCAAAAGAAUUGGUGACGGGACUACUAUCUCCAUCUGGAAUGAUAAGUGGAUACCG
rnacentral:rRNA from 1 species